rnacentral:rRNA from 1 species
CCUAGGGAGGCAGCAGUGGGGAAUAUUGGGCAAUGGGCGCAAGCCUGACCCAGCAACGCCGCGUGAAGGAAGAAGGCUUUCGGGUUGUAAACUUCUUUUAUCAGGGACGAAGCAAGUGACGGUACCUGAUGAAUAAGCCACGGCUAACUACGUGCCAGCAGCCGCGGUAAUACGUAGGUGGCAAGCGUUAUCCGGAUUUACUGGGUGUAAAGGGCGGGAAGGCGGGGGUGCAAGUCAAAUGUGAAAACUCUGGGCUCAACCCAUAGCCUGCAUUUGAAAUUGUCCUUCUUGAGGGCUGGAGAGGCAAUCGGAAUUCCGUGUGUAGCAGUGAAAUGCGUAGAUAUACGGAGGAACACCAGUGGCGAAGGCGGAUUGCUGGACAGUAACUGACGCUGAGGCGCGAAAGCGUGGGGAGCAAACAGGAUUAGAUACCCGAGUAGUC